rnacentral:rRNA from 1 species
AAGUCGAGGGGCAGCAUUUCAGUUUGCUUGCAAACUGGAGAUGGCGACCGGCGCACGGGUGAGUAACACGUAUCCAACCUGCCGAUAACUCGGGGAUAGCCUUUCGAAAGAAAGAUUAAUACCCGAUGGCAUACGAAUAUCGCAUGAUAUUUUAUUAAAGAAUUUCGGUUAUCGAUGGGGAUGCGUUCCAUUAGUUUGUUGGCGGGGUAACGGCCCACCUAGUCUUCGAUGGAUAGGGGUUCUGAGAGGAAGGUCCCCACAUUGGAACUGAGACACGGUCCAAACUCC